GGAGCGGCCGGGACCGACCCGGGACAGCGGGAGCGGCCGGGACCGGCCCGGGACAGCGGGAGCGGCCCGGGACAGCGGGAGCGGCCGGGACCGACCCGGGACAGCGGGACCGGCCCGGGACAGCGGGAGCGGCCCGGGACAGCGGGACCGGCCGGUGCUGCCGCCCCGUGGGGAGCGCCCGGCACUGCAGCCCGGCACGGCGCGGGGCCGGCGUGGAGCGGCGUCCCGGGAAUGCUGAGAGAUCCCGGGAAUGCUGAGAGAUCCCGGGAAUGCUGGGGCGUCCCGGGAAUGCUGAGAGAUCCCGGGAAUGCUGGGGCGUCCCGGGAAUGCUGAGAGAUCCCGAGAAUGCUGGGACGUCCCGGGAAUGCUGAGAGAUCCCGGGAAUGCUGGGACGUCCCGGGAAUGCUGAGAGAUCCCGGGAAUGCUGGGGCGUCCCGGGAAUGCUGAGAGAUCCCGGGAAUGCUGAGAGAUCCCGGGAAUGCUGAGACAUCCCGGGAAUGCUGGGGCGUCCCGGGAAUGCUGAGAGAUCCCGGGAAUAUUGGCGUAUCGCGGGGAAUGCUGAGACAUCCCGGGAAUGCUGAGGCGUCCCCUGCCUGGGGCACUCGGCAGCACAUCCCUGGUGCGAUGCAGAAAAAGAAAAGUCCUGGGUUAGUGGGAGGAUGUUUCUGGAAUGGAGCCGGGAGAGGUGCUGCUCAUGCCAUGGAAUCACGGGCUGCUUUGGCUUGGAAGGGAGCACAGGAUCAUUAACACUCUCUGCUCUGAUUGCACAGCAAAGAACUUCCCAAACUGCCUCCUCACCCUCAUGGACUGCAGGAGUGUCUUCCAUAGCUCCUGUUCAGGAAUGGCAGUGGCUGUGGGGAGCUCUGGCAGGAGCAGCUGCAGACCAGCAGGGAAACAUUUAAACAUGAGGUGCCAAAAAGAACUGGAGCUUCUGCACAAUGAAAUCUGCAGGAAUCCAAUUUAAAAUCCCCCUGGAUUGUCACCAGUCCAACGUCCAUGGACUGGUCUCUGUGGCCAGGAGUGUCCAGUCCUGCUGGAAAUGCACUGGACCAGGAUGUCAUUUUCACUUUAUGCAGGUAAAGAACCUCUGGGUGACACCCAGUGACUGGAAGGACCAGACUGGGCUCCCAGGGCACUAAUUCCAGGUGUUCUUGCUUUGGGAAUAGCACAGGAACCUUUCCCUUGCCCAGAGGAGCAGCAAGUGCCUUCCUUAGUCCACAAAUCCCCAGGAUGGACCACAGAGAAAAUAACAGGAAUGUGGAAAUCCCCUGCACAGGGAGUUUGUGGUGCUCUGGAUUACAUUUUGGAUUUACAAUAUUAAAGGGGGGGAGGUGUAGGGUUUAUUUCUCUUUCUCCUGUUCGUUGUUGUUCUCAGUGUUCUUGUUGCUCUCACUGUCAUUAUGUGUUGUCAUUAAUAUUAAAUGAUUGUAUUUGACUGGUUUCCGUUAUUAAAGUGUUGUGAGCUGGA